rnacentral:rRNA from 1 species
UACGUAGGGGGCAAGCGUUGUCCGGAAUUAUUGGGCGUAAAGGGUGCGUAGGUGGUGCUGUAAGUCAGGUGUGAAAUCUCGGGGCUCAACCCCGAAACUGCACUUGAUACUGCGGUGCUCGAGGACUGGAGAGGAGAUCGGAAUUCCGGGUGUAGCGGUGGAAUGCGUAGAGAUCCGGAAGAACACCGGUGGCGAAGGCGGCCUGCUGGGCAGUGGCUGACACUGAGGCGCGACAGCGUGGGGAGCAAACAGG